rnacentral:rRNA from 1 species
AAGACCUUGCGCUUUUGGAGCGGCCGAUGCCUGAUUAGCUUGUUGGUAAGGUAAAAGCUUACCAAGGCUUCGAUCAGUAGCUGGUCUGAGAGGACGACCAGCCACACUGGGACUGAGACACGGCCCAGACUCCUACGGGAGGCAGCAGUGGGGAAUUUUGGACAAUGGGGGCAAGCCUGAUCCAGCCAUGCCGCGUGAGUGAAGAAGGCCUUCGGGUUGUAAAGCUCUUUCAGCCGGAACGAAACGGUUACGGUUAACACCCGUGACUACUGACGGUACCGGAAGAAGAAGCACCGGCUAACUACGUGCCAGCAGCCGCGGUAAUACGUAGGGUGCGAGCGUUAAUCGGAAUUACUGGGCGUAAAGCGUGCGCAGGUGGUUUUGUAAGUCAGAUGUGAAAGCCCCGGGCUCAACCUGGGAACU